UUUUUUCUUUCCUUCCCCCCUGCCCUCCUCCCACCCCCCGUGCUUGCAUCUUGAAAGGGAUUGGAUACAGUCUUUCUUGCUUGAGUCUGGUAAUGUGAUUUCUUGCUGAAACACUUAGAUUAGUCCCUAGAUCUGUCUCCUAAAUGAAGGUGUUAUACCCCUUGAAUCUGAAUGAGCACUAAGACCCCUUGAUUCCAGAUUCAGUUCUUGAUGCUCUCUGUGCUGGUCUGUGAGUAAAUUACAAGCACACUACUAAAAUAGGUAGGUUAUGUCUUCCAGAGGUGUCUCUUACCUCUGUGGGCUUUUCGCUAGAUCAUUAAGGUAUUUCCUUUAGCUCCUUUUGCUUUUAUUCAGUCUGCUGUUAUUGAUUACAUGGGUGCCAGCCCUCUCCUUUAGAGAGGCAAGAGAAGUUUGCACUUUCAUGUCUAGCUGGUAAUUCCUCGAGCACUUCCACAAAAUCAUCUUUAUCUUCAAUAGCAGCUGUCAUCUUCCUCUGGGCCUGCGGCAUGAGAAAAUGGUGGCAGUGUAUUCAUUGCUGAUGGCAUGGACUUGAUUCAUUUUUGCAGUGUUAUUCUCAGGUUCUGACAUUACAUUUUUAAAUUUUGCUGCAUAAACCAUGCUAUCUAAGCAGCAAUGUGAUCUGUACCAAUAACUUGUAUAGCAAUCUUAUUUUCGUUACUGCUUAAUUUGAUCAUCUUAAAAUCUAAAUUCCUGUUAUUCUGCCAGGGCCCUUGCAUCUGAGAGCAGAGAGCUGAGGCCCCCAAGGCCUUGACUUGGCCAUCAACUGGAAGGUGUUGAUUUGGAAACUGAACUCCUUGUUGGAAACUGAACUAGCCUUCAGUUUGCAUUUUAACUACUGCACUAACCUGUCUUUCCAUAACUGAGGAAAUAUGGCAGAUUGACACAGGAUUGUCAGGUGAUCUGGCAUACUUUGGAAACAUCUCUUGAACAGAAACUGUCUGCAGGGCCUAGUAAGUACAAAGAGGAGGAAUCAUGUUCAGGUAUUAUUGCAGUAGUUCCCAGACAUGUAAGGAUAGUUCCUCUUUUCUUUGGAUUUCCACAGGUUAGAUUUUGCUGCUACUUAUUCAGUAUUGAGUGAGUGUUUCUGUGGGCUUCCUUGUUGUUAGCAAGUUGGUAGCAGCCUUUAUUGUGUUUUUGUAUCCAUAACCAACUUCUCCCUAUCAGGGUGUGCCUGAGAGAAGAUGAGAUUUAUUUUAAGAACAAUUUGCUCGAACUGAAAUGAAAUUAACUGUGGUUGACAGGGGAAGCCAUACUGAGUGACUGUCUCACUGAACAUCUCUGCUCCUUUUGUUAAGAGGAAUUCACCAUCCUGGGGUUUUUAGUAAUCCCCUUGGGCAGUCUGUAGUGAGUAAUACUUUCUCUUGCAUUUGACUAGUCAGUUUUGGUCACCUGGUGACUCAAACUGUCAUCUCAAAAUGUCACUUUUUGGGUAUAUUCUGAUAGGGAUAAAGGUGGUGCA
rnacentral:lncRNA from 1 species